GAGGACGUCUCGGGGCCUCCACUCCGCGGCUGCAGGGACGGGAUUCUGACUUCGCUCCCUAGUGCCUUCCGCAUAGCGGAAGUCUCGGUUUAUCUGGAGUUAAUUCUACUUAGGAGUCAGCUAAGCACUUCCUGUUGUACCUACAAAUGCAAGCCACCAGAGCCAGGUAAUCAAGGAGUGUCCUCUGAGGUGCAGCCACAAAAACUGGGACACCAGACAUGUACACAAGCUCCUUUCUGGGAUACUGCUGAUCUGGAGUUGAGGCAGAGAGAGAGCUGAAAGAUGUACCCACCGGCCCCUCUGGUAUCUGAAGAGUAUUAUGUCAGCACCCAGAUAUGUUUUAAAUUAGAAGCCUACCCAUCAGCCCAAAGCUUUGAAGGUAAAUAGAGGCUGUGUCUUGCCAAAAAGAAGAUUCCAACAAAUG